rnacentral:misc_RNA from 1 species
AACGCAUAUGGCACCUUUUGGUUCUUACUAAAAGGUAUGCCUGUUUGAGAAUCAUCUUCUACAUUCCACUCUUGGACACGUUUGAUUGACGGGUCAGAUCUCAAUGGGUCAGCUCUCAAUUAGUUGACGGGUCAGAUCUCAAUGGGUCAGCUUUCAAUUGAAUGAAUGACCAGGAGUGCGACACAUGGACCUUCACCACUGAUCGUCUUGAAUUCAUGCACGGGGCUGUUCGUGGUAUACAGGGGCGUGUGGGGGCGUGUGCAUCCACAGUGCAUGUGCUCCCCUGCUUUGCUUGUGAUCGAGCGGUCCCGGUUCCUUUAUGCAGUGAUCUCAAAUCAGGCAAGACUACCCGCUGAACUUAA